GUUAUUUUUUUAUUCUGCCAUGGGCACUCCUGGAGUAUUUCCAAGAUUUAUAAAUGUCAUUGUAUCCUCUCCCCGCCCCCAUCCUCCCUUUUUUCCCAUUUUGUUUCUGUGGUUAUGCCCCUCUGCUUUCCACCAGGUUGGAAAUGGAGAACGUGUCUUGGAGUACCCUGCACAAGACUCGUAUUUCCAAACUUACCAUCUCUGUCCAGCCUUGGAGCACUGUUGCCACAUUACAGUGAGCAGACAGGAACUCUCACAGAUGCUGUACUGAGAAUGCAGUCACUGUUUUCCCUACAACAGCGCAGCAGAGCACUACAUAAGUCUUGCUCACAGCUGGGAGGAGGACAGCCUUACCAGCAGCCUGAGCAGGAGCUGGGAAGUUUUGUGCUCUUCACACUGCAGGGAAAGCCUCUUUGCAUAAACUCUGCUCACAGCUUUCACCAGCCCUGAAAUGCAGCUGCUGACUAUUCCUUCUCAAGUCCUGCCUUCCCUCAUGCAUCAAUACCCCCAGUGUGUGGAGAUUCUCUGUGAGAAGGAAAUUACUAGGGCAUCACAGGAGCAGGAAGCUGUUGAGGAGGAGGCUGUCACAUCUGAAAUCAGACUGAAGAGGCUGUGAGGACAGGGAUGGCACAAAACUGGAGCAGGUAAUUUGUGUGAGCUGAGGAACUGACAGGAUGGGAUGGUAUUUGAGUGUU
rnacentral:lncRNA from 14 species